GCUGUGGCUCAGGUGGUAGAGCACUUGCCUGGUGUACAUGAAGCCCUGGGAUCUAUCCCCAGCACAGCA
rnacentral:tRNA from 1 species